AUGGCGGGGGAGGAGGCCGCGGAGGGAAGCGGGAACAGGAGGCGGAUGGAUCUAAACCUGUACCUGGGCCUCCCUCCAUUGCCGCGGCCUCCAGGUCGGCUGGGCGUAGCUAUGGAUUGCCCGCCGCCGCCCAACUCGGCCAUUCCGGUUCCGGAAUCUCCAAGAACGGAUGAGCCUGCAGUAUUACCGGCACCAGAGGAGAUGCCGCCACUGCCCGUUGUAUACUCGCCGUCCAAUGCGCUCUCCACGCCGGAGCUAUCGCUGAUAGAUCCGAUGCUCUUUGAUUGGCUUGAUGGCCUCAGUACGGACAGUGAAGAGGCUCUUGAUGCUGGUGAACCGGCUGUGGUGCGCGACGCGCCCUCACAUGAUGCCAAUGUAUCACCACCGCCGCCAGCGCCAUUGUCUCUUCCUGGGCUGGAAGGGGUUCGCCUUGAAUGGGUGGAAAGGCUUUCUCACCCUAUUCUGGUGGCUCCUGCAGCCGGAGCAGAGAUGGUGAGCACGAGGGUGAUGAGGCAAUCUAUGGGGGCUGUGAAUGCAAUUGAAGACAUGACGCCUGAGCUCCGCCUGCAGAGGUUGAUCCAGGUGAGUGAACAGCACCACAUUGUGAACCGCAACCAGCGGCCGACCAGCCCAGAAGCAGAAAGACUGGCGCAAGCCAUCCAGCGGUCUCACAGCUCUCUAGAUGCAUCAAGGCGGCAGAAGCUCGAUGGUGAUGGCAAGAUGACAGGAAUGGGUGCCGUCAAGAAGGACGGGAACUGUGGGUGCAACUCCAGUUUCGAGUGCAAUAUCUGCCUUGAAGCGGCUAAAGAGCCUGUGGUUACACCGUGCGGCCACCUCUUCUGCUGGCCAUGCUUGUACCAGUGGCUCCAUGGACAUUCAGCCCACUCUGAGUGCCCUGUCUGCAAGGGAGAGGUGCUCGAAGUAAAUGUCACACCAAUAUAUGGAAGAGGAGGCGGUGAACGGGACGCCUCCAGCAAUGAUGUUCCUCCCAGACCACGCGCAAACAGGAGUGAGAGCUUGAGGCAGCAGCUGCAAAUGCCAGACCCAAGAGGCAUUGCAAGCAUGGUGAGACGGUUGAUAGAAAACCAGGAUAUAGUGAGAGGCCAGGCAGCUCCACCUGCAGGCGGGGUUGAGGUGACUGUACUUCCCACAGCCCGGUCAAGGGCUAGGGUACGGAGACAGCAAAGACACAGUCUUGUUUCACCCUCCCCAAUAAUGCUGCGUGCAAGCAACGCGGCCCCUGAGAGUGGCAAUCAGGCAUCGACUUCUAGCACCCUGGCUGUUAUAGUGGGACAGGCAGCCCAAAGUAGGAGGUCCAGACCUUCGGAGUCCACAACCACAAGAAGAACAAGGAGGAGGCAGCAGCAGUAG
rnacentral:rRNA from 1 species